UACGUAGGGGGCGAGCGUUGUCCGGAAUUAUUGGGCGUAAAGGGUACGCAGGCGGUUCUUUAAGUCUGAUGUGAAAUCUCACAGCUUAACUGUGAGCGGUCAUUGGAAACUGAGGAACUUGAGUAUAGAAGAGAAGAGUGGAAUUCCAAGUGUAGCGGUGAAAUGCGUAGAUAUUUGGAGGAACACCAGUGGCGAAGGCGACUCUCUGGACUGUAACUGACGCUGAGGCUCGAAAGCGUGGGGAGCAAACAGGAUUAGAUACCCUGGUA
rnacentral:rRNA from 1 species